rnacentral:rRNA from 1 species
GACGAACGCUGGCGGCGUGCUUAACACAUGCAAGUCGAACGGAAAGGCCCUGCUUUUGUGGGGUGCUCGAGUGGCGAACGGGUGAGUAACACGCGUGUAACCUGCCCUUGACUUUGGGAUAACUUCAGGAAACUGGGGCUAAUACCGGAUAGGAGCUCUUGAUGCACGGUGGGGGUUGGAAAGUUUCGGCGGUUGGGGAUGGACUCGCGGCUUAUCAGCUUGUUGGUGGGGUAGUGGCUUACCAAGGCUUUGACGGGUAGGCGGCCUGAGAGGGUGACCGGCCACAUUGGGACUGAGAGACGGCCCAGACUCCUACGGGAGGCAACAGGGGGGAAUAUUGCACAAUGGGCGGAAGCCUGAUGCAGCAACGCCGCGUGCGGGAUGACGGCCUUCGGGUUAUAAACCGCUUUCGCCUGUGACGAAGCGUGAGUGACGGUAAUGGGUAAAGAAGCACCGGCUAACUACGUG